UACGUAGGGUGCGAGCGUUGUCCGGAAUACUGGGCGUAAAGCGUGCGCAGGCGGUUCGUUGUGUCGGUGGUGAAAGCCCCGGGCUUAACCUGGGAAUGGCCAUGGAAACUGGCGAACUGGAGUGUGGCAGAGGGGGGUGGAAUUCCGCGUGUAGCAGUGAAAUGCGUAGAUAUCGAGAGGAACACCUGCGGCGAAGGCGGGUAGCUGGGCCGACACUGACGCUGAUGCGCGAAAGCCAGGGGAGCGAACGGG
rnacentral:rRNA from 1 species